UACGUGUUUUCAAACCUAAAACAACAUUAUACGACAUGUUACGAUGCUUGGCUUUGGAAACGGACCUCGUAGACCCGACCGGGCUAUCCAAAAACCCUAGAAACGAGUUAGCGGGCCUUGGCCCAACACACAAAACCCUAUCCUAUAAAAACAAACUUACACACACACAUACAGGCCGCACUCUCUGUUUCCUCUCUAGCUCUGGCAACCGGAGCCGCUUUUCCGGCGGGUUUUCCGGCCAUCCGACCUCCGGCCACGCACAACACCCACCACCUCCACUCUCCGCCUUAAACCACCAUCACCCUCUCAUCUCUCUGUUACAAUAACAUCAUCGGAGUUCAUGGGAUACGUCACCAGACACUACCGGAGAUACACGGGGACCGAUGGAAGCCGUUUCUUCUUGUUUCGAAGUUCGCCGGGACAUUCGGAAUUCGCGACAGAACAUACGGAUCAACGUCUUGGCCACUGUUAAAGUAUAUUAACUUUUGAUUUCAAGCACCGAGGAAAGCCGACAUCAUCGGAGAAUGUAUUCGUCACGGGAACAAUCCUGUCGUCGCCGGAGAUCGGAAACCCGCGAGUGUUCUUUCGAUUCGGAUAACCAAUACGCUCGCUCUCUUAGAUUCUUCUAAAUCUCUACUCGUGCGAUAAUUCAAGGAAUCCUCAAACGCAACCAAUGAUUCUGAUGAAGCAGUAAAUCUAGUAGGAUUGCCUAGAAACGCAUUUAAACUUUAAUACUUGUUGUAUCGUAAUUUAUUUUCAAGCAUGUUGUAUUUUGUUUCCAAACCUUGUAUUAAACCGUUUUUA